rnacentral:rRNA from 1 species
AUCUAGCUUGCUAGAUGCUGACGAGUGGCGCACGGGUGCGUAACGCGUAUACAAUUUACCUUUAACUGAGGGAUAGCCCAGAGAAAUUUGGAUUAAUACCUCAUAGUAUUAUAAUUAGGCAUCUUUUUAUAAUUAAAACUUCGGUGGUUAAAGAUGAGUAUGCGUACUAUUAGCUAGUUGGUAAGGUAAAAGCUUACCAAGGCAACGAUAGUUAGGGGGCCUGAAAGGGUGAUCCCCCACACUGGUACUGAGACACGGACCAGACUCCUACGGGAGGCAGCAGUGAGGAAUAUUGCACAAUGGAGGAAACUCUGAUGCAGCCAUGCCGCGUGCAGGAAGAAUGCCCUAUGGGUUGUAAACUGCUUUUAUACAAGAAGAAACCUCGGUACGUGUACCGACUUGACGGUAUUGUAUGAAUAAGCACCGGCUAACUCCGUGCCAGCAGCCGCGGUAAUACGGAGGGUGCAAGCGUUAUCCGGAUUUAUUAGGUUUAAAGGGUCCGCAGGCGGAAUACUAAGUCAGUGGUGAAAGCCUACAGCUCAACUGUAGAACUGCCAUUGAUACUGAUGUUCUUGAGUAUGGAUG